rnacentral:sRNA from 1 species
GCGCUGUGCCCAGUACAAGAAGGAUGGAGCUGACUUCGCCAAGUGGCGUUGUGUGCUGAAGAUUGGGGAACACACCCCCUCAGCCCUCGCCAUCAUGGAAAAUGCCAAUGUUCUGGCCCGUUAUGCCAGUAUCUGCCAGCAGAAUGGCAUUGUGCCCAUCGUAGAGCCUGAGAUCCUCCCUGAUGGGGACCAUGACUUGAAGCGCUGCCAGUAUGUGACCGAGAAGGUAAAUGGCUACCUGCCUGACCAGUGCAAGGUGGCUGGGCGGGGACCCUGGGGCUAACCCCUAUCCUCUCCUCCACCCCACUACCCACCGUGCGCCUGCUCUGCUCCAGGUGCUGGCUGCUGUCUACAAGGCUCUGAGU